rnacentral:rRNA from 1 species
AUUGAACGCUGGCGGCAGGCCUAACACAUGCAAGUAGAACGAGUGGCGGACGGGUGAGUAAUGUCUGGGAAACUGCCCGAUGGAGGGGGAUAACUACUGGAAACGGUAGCUAAUACCGCAUACCAUCGGAUGUGCCCAGAUGGGAUUAGCUAGUAGGUGGGGUAACGGCUCCCCUAGGCGACGAUCCCUAGCUGGUCUGAGAGGAUGACCAGCCACACUGGAACUGGUCCACGGUCCAGACUCCUACGGGAGGCAGCAGGGGGGAAUAGUGCACAAUGGGCGCAAGCCUGAUGCAGCCAUGCCGCGUGUAUGAAGAAGGCCUUCGGGUUGUAAAGUACUUUCAGCGUGGAGGCGUUACUAGCAGAAGAAGCACCGGCUAACUCCGUGCCAGCCGCCGCGGUAAUUC